UGGAUCAGCUCAGCUUGUGCUCUGCAAGAGCUCUGAGUACGGAAUGACCCAGGACCGCGAGUGUGGGCCCUGCCUUCAGUCUGUAGGUUCUAGACGGCCUCAGAUGACUACCUUUGCCAGUCCUCUGAAGAGGGCGCGUCAUCUCUCUGACCCUAUCACGGCUGCUUCCUUCCAGGGUGGUUCUUUGCUACUUCUUCCACCUGGAUUGGCAAGAGCCAGGGAGGAGCACCACAGCCAUCAACACAGCUGCACCUCCUCUCAGAGAGGCCAGGCCCAGAGAGCAGCCAUACAGUAAGGAGUAGCAGGAGGACAGGGGACUGAGGAGGAGUGAAGGGAAACAAGGAUUGGUGACAGUUGUCCAUGACCUCUUCUAGCUGUCUCAGGAAAGAGCAAG
rnacentral:lncRNA from 1 species